rnacentral:misc_RNA from 1 species
UCAACUCUACGGAAUCCACUCUCGGUCGCCAUCUUGCUCGUCGGCUUGUCCAAAUCGGCAUCACUGAUGUUUUCUCUGUUCCCGGUGACUUCAACCUUACUCUUCUGGACCAUCUCAUAGCAGAGCCUGGGCUUAACCUCAUUGGCUGUUGUAACGAGCUCAAUGCUGGAUACGCUGCCGACGGUUACGCACGGUGUCGUGGAGUUGGCGCUUGUGUUGUUACGUUUACUGUGGGUGGACUUAGUGUUCUCAAUGCAAUCGCUGGUGCUUACAGUGAAAAUCUGCCUGUGAUAUGCAUUGUUGGAGGGCCUAACUCCAAUGAUUAUGGGACUAACAGGAUUCUGCACCAUACCAUUGGGUUGCCUGAUUUCAGCCAGGAGCUACGGUGUUUCCAGACUGUUACCUGCUUCCAGGCUGUGGUGAAUAACUUGGAAGAUGCUCAUGAGCUGAUCGAUACUGCUAUAUCGACUGCUUUGAAAGAAAGCAAGCCUGUUUAUCUCAGUAUUAGCUGUAACUUGCCUGCGAUCCCUCAUCCUACCUUUAGCCGGGAUCCAGUUCCAUUUUCACUCUCUCCCAGAUUAAGCAACAAAUUGGGUUUGGAGGCUGCGGUUGAAGCAGCGGCGGAUUUCUUGAACAAAGCAGUGAAACCAGUUCUGGUGGGUGGGCCUAAACUUAGGGUUGCACAGGCAUGUGAUUCCUUUGUUGAAUUAGCUGAUGCUAGUGGUUAUGCCCUGGCCGUGAUGCCAUCAGCUAAAGGGCUCGUGCCAGAAUUUCAUCCCCACUUCAUUGGAACUUACUGGGGUGCUGUGAGCACU